rnacentral:rRNA from 1 species
UACGGGAGGCAGCAGUGGGGAAUAUUGCACAAUGGGCGCAAGCCUGAUGCAGCCAUGCCGCGUGUAUGAAGAAGGCCUUCGGGUUGUAAAGUACUUUCAGUCGUGAGGAAGGUGUUAAGGUUAAUAACCUUAGCAAUUGACGUUAGCGACAGAAGAAGCACCGGCUAACUCCGUGCCAGCAGCCGCGGUAAUACGGAGGGUGCGAGCGUUAAUCGGAAUUACUGGGGCGUAAAGGGCGACGCAGGCGGUUAAUUAAGUUGGAUGUGAAAUCCCGGGCUUAACCUGGGAAUGGCAUUCAAGACUGGUUAGCUAGAGUCUUGUAGAGGGGGAGUAGAAUUCCAUGUGUAGCGGUGAAAUGCGUAGAGAUGUGGAGGAAUACCGGUGGCGAAGGCGGCCCCUGGACAAGACUGACGCUCAUGUGCGAAAGCGUGGGGAGGCAAACAGGGAUUAGAUACC